rnacentral:tRNA from 1 species
CCUGGUGGGUCAUAUAGUAAAGAAUCUGCCUGCAAUGCAGGAGACCUGGGUUUGAUUCCCAGGUCAGGA